rnacentral:snRNA from 1 species
AUGUAAUGAUACAGAGAUAUCCGAUAAAAUUGGAACGAUACAGAGAAGAUUAGCAUGGCCCCUGCGCAAGGAUGAAACGCACAAAUCGAGAAAUGGUCCAAAUUUUU